rnacentral:tRNA from 1 species
AGCCGGGCCAGGCUGGCCUGGGCCUGGGCCAGCUGCGCCCGGGCGGCCUCCAGCUGUUCGGGUCGGGCCCCGGCUU